GCUAAUGACACAGACUUGUACCAUAUGAAAAUAAUUCAAUAUGCAAAAAUUGGAGUGUUGAAAUUUCAGGGUUAAAAAUUUCCGAGUUGAUUUUCACUCCCAGAGUAGAUGUAAUUAAGCUCCGCCCAUGCCUUUCACCUCUUCGGUUAGAGACAGAGAAGACAAGUCUGCACCAUUUUCUACCUCUCAUGCAGUACUACACGAAUUCUCUGAUUUCUCCUUGUCUUCUGAGACGUCUGACUCAAGCUUCAGCUCAAGUGCAUCAACUAUAAUCCUAGAUGUUCCUAACAAGAGACAAAGAAUUGAGGAUACACGUGAUGCUGUGUCUGCUAAACAGUUGAUAGAAGCUGUGCUAAGAGGCAAGUCUGGAGGUGAAGAAGUACUACAGAAGUACCAAACAACAGAAACCCUAACAGAUGCUGCAAGAAGACAAAUGGUUAAUUUCCUGGUGGCUCACAUGAUUGACAAUCAUGGGCACUGCCCCACUAAAACAAUCAGAGAAGAUUAUGCACGUGGGAUAGUGAUGCUGUUCCCUUCCCUUAAGGAUCCAUACUCCAAGAAGGGCUAUGAACACUUCUAUGAUGCUGCAAGCAGCACAGGAUACAUUUCUUGGCGUCUGAAAACAGUCCAGAGGAAGAUUCGUCAAGGAUCUGCACAGCCACUCUUUCAUCUCCUUCCACCACCUCCAGGGGGACUGAAGUCUCCAAAAAUUAGUGCAUGUGAUGCAGUUGAAAGACUUGUUGUAUUUCAUAAGUCAUGCUGCAGUUUGGAGGAGCAUCUCCGCAACCAGCAGGGUCGGCAGCCGUACCUCCUCGCUGUUGGGCGUCAGAAGAGCAAGAUUGACAGCCUCUACAUCACCAUGGAUAAGCGUCUCAUCCCAUGCAAGGCAAACCGCUUCCUCGGGGCAUGUGAUGAACUUUUCAAAGCACAUUUUGUGUUUAAUUUGUCUUACGAUGUGGCACUUGUGAAUUUUUAUACAUUCCUGCAGACAACAGUGUAUAACAUUGAUGUGGGGAAAAUGAAGGAGUCACCCAGAGUUAAAGACUUGAGAGCAAGACUGCUUAACCAGCCAGUAGCAUUCUCACCCUGUGAGUAAGAAGCUAUAACAAUGCUGACCUGUUUCAUGUGUUGAAAAACAAGCUAUUUACAGAGAAUUUUCAUGACCAUCAUCAUGCAUUCAGAGUAUUACAAAAUGCGGAAAGAUGUUUACUAAAAAUGUCUGCGCUUAAAUUUCAUAAACCGUUUCAUAUUCAAAGCUCAUACAAUGUUUUGGAUGGAAGUUUGUACAUUAUACCUUCA
ensembl:lncRNA